CGUGUAGUGAUUCUGCUUGAUGUUGGGCACGAUCAUCCAGCUGUCCAUCGAGUUACACAGACCUGAAACGUCACGCACAACACCCAAAACAG